GGCGGCUCCUGCCGGCCGGGGUCAGCCCCUCAGGAGCCCGGACCUGCCCGCCGGGAGCCAGGCCCUCUUCGUCUGCCGCCAUGGGCUCCGAAAUUCCCGCUAGGGAAGUGCCCGGUGACGAGGGCUCGCCCGCUGAGGAAGGAGCCUCCUGCCCAGGGGAAAACUGGGGCUCCCUCACGAAAACGGCCCCCAGUUCCCGCUGACAUGCGUGUAAACCACCAAGGAAAACACUGUCGGGUCGUAGAACAAUAGCGGCUGUUGAUGCCUAUAAUCAUCUGUCAGAAAUUAUACUUCGAAGACAUAAAGUCGUGUUCUCAAAGGGGAACUAGCAGCCGGAACAAAUACGCAAGAAUGCGAGGAAAAUUUCUCUUUCUACAGCGCCAGGUAUGAGGAAGAAUAGUUAGUUCCCAGUCUGUGUGGCGGUGUUCCGUUCAAAGGGGAGGGCAUCAUACCUCAUGCCCUCAAAGAUGAGGGCAUCAUUCCCGACAGAAAAGAUCCUUGUGAGUGGGCAAAAAUGCAAUAGACACUGAGCCGAAGGCAAAAUUUCACUUAGCUUAAUUAUUUGGUGAGUUGUAUAAACCAUACAGAGUGUGCACCCUGUGGGAGAAGGGAAGAGACGCCACCGGUUCAGCAGAAGCCGAGCGCUGCGGUGGCCCCGAGUCACCGGGGUUCGGUGGCCGCUGUCCAGCUGUGAUCCAGCAGGGAGGGGCGGCCAGCCCAGCGCGACCUCCUCUGCCCCGGGGAGAGCGCCUGCAGUGGCAGCGCCGCCGGGGAGCAGCGCUGGGCAUCCGCCUCAGCUCGCCCCGUGCCAAGCUGGAGCGAAGUUCUGACAAGAUGUGCCGCGCAAAAGGUAAAUCAUUAGCGUUUGCUGGAGUGCUUCUCAGCUGCCUAGAAAUGAUAUUUUCAG
rnacentral:lncRNA from 1 species